CAGCCACUGAAGGUUGCCUUUUACUUUUUCCUUCUUACUUCUCUGAUAAAAGUUUGCCAGAAAGGAAAAACCAGCAUGCCUCAGCAGCUAUAACAUUCUUUUCUUUCACCUUGCAGAAAUGUACUUCCCUGGGUAGUUCCUUCCUUUCCUGGUAAGUUAUUAAGACAUUUUCCUUGCAUUUUCUUGACCAGCUUAUUAGUAGAUGUUGUGCAGAAGGCUUUUUUAGAAAGUGGAAAUAUGUUAUCGUGCCAUUUCACAAUACAGGUUCUGUAAAGAUGAGGGUGACAUCAAGAAGCUGGCUCAUUUUCAACGUGCAGCCUCCUGUCCGAUGAUCCAUUCCAGGUGCAGGAUUUGCUCUGAUCAUCAUCCCAGUCCUCCUGGCUGGGAGCACUCUGGUGGUGGUUUUGCUCAUAGUGCAUAGCCUUUGCUGCAGAAAAUCUGGAUGUGAAGACCAUGGGCGGGGCUUGGAGAACAUAGCCACAGUGUCAGCGGGCAUGGUGUCACCACAGGACACACUGGGACCAUGGGAGGCCUCGAGAGACUGUGCGCUAGAGUGACUGGAGUUCCUGGAGAUGGGUCGCUAUGGAGCUGUGUGUAACAGCCGAUUGCAAAGAGGAAGUACUCCCUCUGCAGUGGUGGUGAAGAUUCUACGGGGUACAUACCCAAAGUUUUUACACUGCCAUGGAGCAGGGCUGUUGUGCAAAUGAUGUCAUGGGAUCAGAUCCUGCUACCUCUUUAAUGCUCUCUGGUUCAAGCUUUUCAGUAUUUAUCAGCAAAACAGAUAAAAGUACUGCAUGAGAGGUGACUACAUGUUCAUGUGACCUAAAUCUGUUCAAACAUCCUUUACUUCCACAACUUGCACUGCUAAAUUGUUUACAGUAAACAGAACCAGUAGGCACCAGUAUGGAAGUCCUUUGAUUUUUCUCUCAACUGUCCUCAUCUUGUCUGCAUUGACCUCCUGUGUACGGCUGCUGCUCCAGAUGGUACAAGUCAUUCUGAGGCCAUGGAGUUCUUUGCCUGGAUUCAAUUUCAUGCCAAAGGGUGCCAACAUGAGAAUUUGGUGCACAUGCUGCUGUGCCAGACCAGGAGGCUGCCCAUGUUCCUGGCCCUGGAAACCAGCAUCCCAGGGAACCUACUACACUUUCUCUGGACCCUACACAAGGUGGUCUUUUGGAAUUCUUCUAUAUGAGCUGAUUACUUUUGGUAAGACAUCCUGUGUUUUUGAUGGCUGCAGUUCUGAGGAGCACUUUCAAAUAAUUCCUGCACUGGAGGAGGAGUCCUGUAGAUGACUGGUCAAAAUGUACAACCGGCAGAAGAGCAGUAGAUCCUGGAAAUGCCUGUUUUCAGCUGCCAUUCUGUAGACUUUCCUUCAUGCGAUGAUCUUCAGCUGGCUGAACAAAGUCUCUGCAUGUCACAUACAGGGUAAAACUGUUAUCCAGACACUAUAUGCGGUAGGAUAUUAUAUGAACCAUGCCAUGGUAUGUGCCUUUUUUGAGAGCAUAAUAAAGGUUCCUUCUUCUUAAACUUAAUCA
rnacentral:lncRNA from 1 species